AUGCCGUCGGCCGCCGCGGGUCCGGCGGAGGUGGCGCUGGCGCCGCCGGCGAAGGCGGCCGCGCUCCCGUUCGCCGGGAUCUCGCCGGACCUCUACCCGACGGAGGACGACCUGCCCUACGAGGAGGAGAUCCUGCGGGAGCCCUUCAAGCUCAAGGGGUGGUGGCGCUACCUCGUCGCCCGCGCAGCCGCGCCCUUCGCCAAGCGCGCCGUCAUCUACGAGCGCGCGCUCAAGGCGCUUCCGGGGAGCUACAAGCUCUGGCACGCCUACCUCCGCGAGCGCCUCGACCACGUGCGCCCGCACCCAAUCUCCCACCCGGCCUACGCCUCCCUCAACAACACCUUCGAGCGGGCGCUCGCCACCAUGCACAAGAUGCCGCGCGUCUGGGUCCUCUACCUCACCUCGCUGCUCGACCAGCGCCUGCUCACCCGCGGCCGCCGCAACUUCGACCGCGCCCUCCGCGCGCUGCCCGUCACGCAGCACGAUCGCAUCUGGCCGCUCUACCUGCGCCUCGCCUCGCUCCCGGCCUGCCCCGUCGAGACGUCCUUCCGCGUCUUCCGGCGCUACCUCCAGUUCGACCCCUCCCACGCCGAGGACUUCAUUGAGUUCCUCGUCUCGGCCGAACGCUGGCAGGAGGCAGCCGACCGCCUGGCCUCCGUGCUCAACGACGAUGGCUUCCGCUCUGUCAAGGGGAAGACCAGGCACCAGCUCUGGCUCGAGCUCUGCGAUAUCCUCACUAAGCAUGCUGAUGAGGUCGCAGGGCUCAAGGUGGAUGCCAUACUGCGGGGCGGGAUACGCAAGUUCACCGACGAGGUUGGCAAGUUGUGGACCUCGCUCGCUGAUUACUAUGUCAGGAGGACCCUCUAUGAGAAAGCAAGGGACGUCUUCGAGGAGGGGGUUUCUUCAGUGAUGACAGUGCAGGAGUUCAGUGUGGUGUUUGAGGCUUAUACACAAUUUGAGCAGAGUAUGCUUGCGGCAAAGCUGGAGGCAGCUGAAGAGGAUGGGGCUGCGGGGAGCGACGAGGGUGAGAAAGGGGGCAAGAAGAAUAAGGUGGAGAAGCUAGAGAAGGAACUUGCAGCGUGUUGGUUGAAUGAUGAAGAUGACACUGAUUUGAGGCUGGCAAGGUUUGAGCGGCUAUUGGAUCGCAGACCAGAGCUCCUUAGCAGUGUCCUGUUGAGACAGAAUCCACAUAAUGUGGAGGAGUGGCACAGGAGAGUUAAACUUUUUGACAAGGAUCCCGCAAAGCAAGUAGCGACAUAUGUCGAGGCUGUGAAAACUGUGGACCCAAUGAAGGCAGUUGGGAAACCUCAUACUCUAUGGGUGGCAUUUGCAAAGAUGUAUGAGAAACAUAACCGCUUAGAUAGUGCUGAAGAUAUCUUUAAAAAGGCCACACAAGUGAACUAUAAAGCAGUGGACCACUUGGCUACUAUUUGGUGUGAAUGGGCCGAAAUGGAGCUCCGCAACCAACAUUUUGACAAGGCAAUUGAGCUGAUGAGGUUAGCCACAGCAGAGCCCUCUGUUGAGGUGAAGAGGCGAGCUGCUGCGGAGGGUGACGAGCCGGUCCAGCUGAAAUUACAUAAAUCUCUGAAAUUAUGGAGUAUCUAUGUUGACCUGGAGGAGAGCCUUGGGUCGUUGGAAACAACCCGUGCUGUUUAUGAGAGAAUAUUAGAUUUAAGAAUUGCCACUCCUCAAAUAAUUCUUAAUUACGCAUUUCUUCUUGAGGAGAACAAGUAUUUCGAAGAUGCAUUUAAAGUGUAUGAAAGAGGUGUAAAAAUAUUCAAGUAUCCCCAUGUUAAGGAUAUUUGGGUGACCUACCUCACAAAGUUUGUAAAGCGGUACCAGCGAAGCAAGUUAGAGCGGGCAAGAGAGCUGUUCACGGAAGCUGUCGAAAAGGCUCCGCCGCACGAAAAGAAGGCCUUGUAUUUGCAAUAUGCUAAACUGGAGGAAGACUACGGCCUCGCAAAACGUGCCAUGAAUGUAUAUGAUGAAGCUGUAAGGGCUGUUCCCAACACUGAAAAGAUGAGUAUGUAUGAAAUAUACAUUGCACGUGCUGCUGAACUUUUUGGUGUUCCAAGGACCAGACAAAUAUACGAGCAAGCUAUAGAAUCUGGUCUCCCAGACAAAGAUGUUAUGGUGAUGUGCAUGAAGUUUGCGGAACUUGAAAGAAAUCUUGGAGAAAUCGACCGUUCCCGGGCUAUUUAUAUCCACGCCUCCAACUAUGCUGAUCCAAAUUCUCACCCAGAGUUCUGGAAAAAAUGGAACGACUUUGAGAUCCAACAUGGUAAUGAAGAUACAUUCAGGGAGAUGCUUCGCAUCAAGCGUACAGUGGCCGCUAGCCGCAGUCAGACUCAUUUCAUCCUUCCGGAGUACCUGAUGCAAAGGGACCAGAGGCUAAACAUGGAUGAGGCGGUCGACACUCUGACGCGUGCCGGUGUCCCGCAGGAUGAGAUGGCCGCCUUAGAAAGGCAGCUAGCUUCUGGACCAUCCCCGGCGCCAGCAGCGGCUCCAAGCACCAGUACGACUCCUGCAAACAGAAUGAUGAACUUUGUUAGUGCCGGAGUAGAGGCACGGGCCGAGAGCAGCACGCAACAGGCUGCUGCUAACAACGAGGACAUCGAGCUGCCCGACGAAGAGAGCGACGAGGAGGACGAUGUCCAGAUCGCGGAGCGGGCUGUCCCUGAAGCCGUGUUUGGCGAGCUCGGCAAGAGAGCCGCAGAGAGCAGGGAGGAAAGCUCUAGUGCUCAAGAGAACAACGAGCAACAGCUGGGUGCUCUCGAGAGAAUCAAGCGAAGGCGUCAAUAG
rnacentral:rRNA from 1 species